rnacentral:rRNA from 1 species
CAGCCGCCGCGGGAAUACGAAGGGUGCAAGCGUUACUCGGAAUUACUGGGCGUAAAGCGUGUGCAGGUGGUUGUUUAAGUCUGUCGUGAAAGCCCUGGGCUCAACCUGGGAAUUGCGAUGGAUACUGGGCGACUAGAGUGCGGUAGAGGAUAGUGGAAUUUCCGGUGUAGCAGUGAAAUGCGUAGAGAUCGGAAGGAACAUCUGUGGCGAAGGCGACUAUCUGGGCCAACACUGACACUGAGGCACGAAAGCGUGGGGAGCAAACAGGAUUAGAUACCCGCGUAGUCCCUGUCUCUUAUAC